GACGAACCACACAAACGUUAUUCGGAAUCACUGGGCUUAAAGGGUGCGUAGGCUGCGCGGAAAGUUGGGUGUGAAAUACCUCGGCUCAACCGAGGAACUGCGCUCAAAACUACCGUGCUUGAGGGAGACAGAGGUGAGCGGAACUUAGGGUGGAGCGGUGAAAUGCGUUGAUAUCCUAAGGAACACCCGUGGCGAAGGCGGCUCUCUGGGACGGUACUGACGCUGAGACGCGAAAGCGUGGGGAGCGAACAGG
rnacentral:rRNA from 1 species